UGAGGAAUAUUGGUCAAUGGGCGCGAGCCUGAACCAGCCAAGUAGCGUGGAGGACGACGGCCCUACGGGUUGUAAACUCCUUUUGCGCGGGGAUAAAGUGCGCGACGUGCUCGCGCAUUGCAGGUACCGCGCGAACAAGGACCGGCCAAUUCCGUGCCAGCAGCCGCGGUAAUACGGAAGGUCCGGGUGUUAUCCGGAUUUAUUGGGUUUAAAGGGAGCGCAGACUGCCUGUCAAGCGUGCAGUGAAACGCCGCGGCCCAACCGCGGCCCUGCUGCGCGAACUGGCGGGCUUGAGUGGGCUGGAGGCACGCGGAAUUCGUGGUGUAGCGGUGAAAUGCUCAGAUAUCACGAGGAACCCCGAUUGCGAAGGCAGCGUGCCGCGUCCCGACUGACGUUGAGGCUCGAAGGUGCGGGUAUCGAACAGG
rnacentral:rRNA from 1 species